UACGUAGGGUGCGAGCGUUAAUCGGAAUUACUGGGCGUAAAGGGUGCGCAGGCGGUUCUGCAAGUCAGGCGUGAAAUCCCCGGGCUUAACCUGGGAAUGGCGCUUGAAACUACGGGACUGGAGUAUGGCAGAGGGAGGUGGAAUUCUACGUGUAGCGGUGAAAUGCGUAGAGAUGUGGAGGAACACCGAUGGCGAAGGCAGCCUCCUGGGCCAAUACUGACGCUCAUGCACGAAAGCGUGGGGAGCAAACAGG
rnacentral:rRNA from 1 species